rnacentral:rRNA from 1 species
AUGAACGCUAGCGGCAGGCUUAAUACAUGCGAAGUCGAGGGGCAGCAGGGAUAGCAAUAUUCGCUGGCGACCGGCGCACGGGUGCGUACACGUAUACAAUCUGCCUUUUACUGGGGGAUAGCCUUUCGAAAGAGAGAUUAAUACCCCAUAAUAGAUUGCUCGGCAUCGAGUGAUUUUGAAAGCUCCGGCGGUAAGAGAUGAGUAUGCGUCUGAUUAGCUAGUAGGUGAGGUAACGGCUCACCUAGGCCACGAUCAGUAGGGGAUCUGAGAGGACUAACCCCCACACGGAUACUGAGACACGGAUCCGACUCCUACGGGAGGCAGCAGUAAGGAAUAUUGGACAAUGCCCGCAAGGGUGAUCCAGCCAUGCCGCGUGCAGGAAGACGGCCCUAUGGGUUGUAAACUGCUUUUAUACAAGAGAAAACCUCCCUACGUGUAGGGAGCUGAUAGUAUUGUAGGAAUAAGCAUCGGCUAACUUCGUG